rnacentral:rRNA from 1 species
ACGAACGCUGGCGGCAGGCUUACACAUGCAAGUCGAGCGCGCCCUUCGGGGUGAGCGGCGGACGGUAGUAACGCGUGGGAAUAUACCCUUUGGUACGGAAUAGCCUCUGGAAACGGAGAGUAAUACCGUAUGAGCCCUUCGGGGGAAAGAUUUAUCGCCAGAGGAUGAGCCCGCGUAGGAUUAGCUAGUUGGUGUGGUAAAGGCGCACCAAGGCGACGAUCCUUAGCUGGUCUGAGAGGAUGAUCAGCCACACUGGGACUGAGACACGGCCCAGACUCCUACGGGAGGCAGCAGUGGGGAAUAUUGGACAAUGGGCGAAAGCCUGAUCCAGCAAUGCCGCGUGAGUGAUGAAGGCCUUAGGGUUGUAAAGCUCUUUUACCCGGGAUGAUAAUGACAGUACCGGGAGAAUAAGCUCCGGCUAACUCCGUGCCAGCAGCCGCGGUAAUACGGAGGGAGCUAGCGUUGUUCGGAAUUACUGGGCGUAAAGCGCACGUAGGCGGCUUUGUAAGUUAGAGGUGAAAGCCUGGAGCUCAACUCCAGAACUGCCUUUAGACUGCAUCGCUUGAUCCAGGAGAGGUGAGUGGAAUCCC